AUGGACCCAGCACUCCGCCUCAUCCUUCAUGCUUGGCUCUUCGGUUUUGUGGCGCAGGUGUGCGUGGUGAGCUGGGCGCUAGUCAUGGAUGGGGAUGUUGCUAUCGCUAGGGGCCGCACCGUGGGGUCUCGUCUUUGGCUUCACCCUGACCACAUUCUGUCUUUUGCAGCCCCCCUAUCGCACACCUUGGAAUGCAUAUGGAAUUUAAUCAUGGUACAUCCAAAGGCUCGUGUAUCUUGUGUAUCGAAAGACUUGUGUAUCAUAUGCAAUUUAAUCAUGGGUUGGGAAGUUGUUAAUCCUUCUAUAAUUAUUAAAACUUUUGUUUGUGAUCCCCCAGAAGAGGUCUUCAUCACUCUGCUACGGACAUGCCAACCAAAGAAUAAGCUACUGGUGAAGCAAGCUCUCGCUAUUCUCAUGCCUGCCCUUCCGAGAAGACUUCCUCCUAGUGAUAGCCGCUUGCCGAUAUGGAUCAGAUACACCAAGAAAGUCCUUGUGGAGGAGGGGCAUUCAAUUCCAAACAUGAUUCACAUAUUCCAGCUUAUUUUUCGCCAUGCAGACCUUUUUUAUAGUUGCAGAGAGCAGAUGGGUAAAGACGGACACAUGAAAAUCAUGCAGGAAAGUGAGAUCCAGAAUCAAAUAAGUAAGAGGCUGAAAGUUGAACCAGGCUUGCAACCUCUUUGUGUAAUGUCGCCGGGUGGGGCAUCACCUAAAAUUGACACACCCGGAGCUUCAGGGCAACUUGAUGAGGAGUAUAAACCUAAUGCAGCAAUGGAGGAGAUGAUCAUUACUUUCCUGAAUAGAUUCAGUAAUAGAUGCAUUCAAGGAUUUUGGCCAAACAAAUCCUCAACUUCACCAUCUUGGUUACCGAGACAAGGCUUGGAAUGUGAAUAA
rnacentral:rRNA from 1 species